UACGAAGGGGGCUAGCGUUGCUCGGAAUCACUGGGCGUAAAGGGUGCGUAGGCGGGUCUUUAAGUCAGGGGUGAAAUCCUGGAGCUCAACUCCAGAACUGCCUUUGAUACUGAGGAUCUUGAGUUCGGGAGAGGUGAGUGGAAUUCCGAGUGUAGAGGUGAAAUUCGUAGAUAUUCGAAAGAACACCAGUGGCGAAGGUGACUUACUGGACACAUAUUGACGCUGAGGUGCGAAAGCGUGGGGAGCAAACAGG
rnacentral:rRNA from 1 species